UCCUGCCAGUAGUCAUAUGCUUGUCUUAAAGAUUAAGCCAUGCAAGUCUAAGUAUAAGCGAUUAUACAGUGAAACUGCGGAAGGCUCAUUAAAUCAGUUAUAAUUUGUUUGAUAAUAUUUGGGUAACCAAUUUGGAUAACUGUAGUAAUUCUAGAGCUAAUACAUGAUAAGAUCCCUAACGUAAGAAAGGGAGCGUUUAUACGUAAUUAAAAGCGAUAAAUUAGGGUAAAACUUAAUUUUAAUAGAUGAAUUAGUAUAAAAUAGUGCAGACCGCAUUGCCUUGAGCAGGCGGCGAUACAUUCAAGUUUCUGCCCUAUCAACUUUGAAGGUAAUAUAUAGGAUUACCUUGGUGAUAACGGGUGACGGGGAAUUAGGGUUCGAUUCCGGAGAGGGCGCCUGAGAAAUGGCGACUACUUCCAAGGAAGGCAGCAGGCGCGCAAAUUACCCAAUCUCAAUACGAGGAGGUAGUGACAAUAAAUAACAAUGCAGGUCCUUUAUGGAUCAGCAAUUGGAAUGAAUACAAUUUAAACCAAUUAAUAAGGAACAAUUGGAGGGCAAGUCUGGUGCCAGCAGCCGCGGUAAUUCCAGCUCCAAUAGCGUAUAUUAAAGUUGUUGUAGUUAAAAAGCUCGUAGUUGGAUUUUUGUAUCAAAUUUUAUUAUUUUGUCGGAAGAUGAAAUAAUUUAAUUGAUUACAUUUUUUUCGGAUUACCACAUUCUGCUCUUAAAUGAGUGGAAUGUAAAUUUUAAAAGGUACCGAAUAAUUUACUUUGAAGAAAUUAGAGUGUUCAAAGCAGGCAGAAGCCUGAAUAUAUUAGCAUGGUAUAAUAAAAUAAGACCCGAUAAAUAAGUUUUUGUCGCAAUUAAUUUAUUGGGUAAUGAUUAAUAGAGAUAGUUGGGGACGUUCAUAUUCCAGGGUUAGAGGUGAAAUUCUUGGAUCCUUGGAAGAUGCACUUAUGCGAAAGCAUUCGUCAAGGAUGUUUUCAUUAAUCAAGAACGAAAGUUAGGGGAUCGAAGACGAUCAGAUACCGUCGUAGUCUUAACAGUAAACUAUACCGACCAGAGAUUGUAGGACGUUACACGGAUGACUCCUUCAGCACCUUGUGAGAAAUCAAAAGUUUUUGGGUUCUGGGGGGAGUAUGGUCGCAAGGCUGAAACUUAAAGGAAUUGACGGAAGGGCACCACCAGGAGUGGAGCCUGCGGCUUAAUUUGACUCAACACGGGGAAACUUACCAAGUCAAGACAUAGUAAGGAUUGACAGAUUAAUAGCUCUUUCUUGAUUCUAUGGGUGGUGGUGCAUGGCCGUUCUUAGUUGGUGGAGUGAUUUGUCUGGUUAAUUCCGAUAACGAACGAGACCUCAGCAUACUAAAUAGAUAAGAAAAAUAUCUAUUGGGUGAAGUAAAUUAAUAGAGUAAACUUGUUUUAUUCUUUAAUUAAUGGAUCCUUGAUAAUUUUUUUGAAAUUCUUCUUAGAUGGACUGCUUAUGUGUAAUAAGUGGAAGUUUGAGGCAAUAACAGGUCUGUGAUGCCCUUAGAUGUCUUGGGCUGCACGCGCGCUACAAUGAUUAACUCAACGAGUUAAUAUCCUAUACUAAAAAGUAUGGGUAAUCUCUUAAAAUUAGUCGUGAUGGGGAUAGAUUAUUGUAAUUAUUAUUCUUGAACGAGGAAUUCCUAGUAAGUGCGGUUCAUCACACCGCGUUGAUUACGUCCCUGCCCUUUGUCCACACCGCCCGUCGCUCCUACCGAUUGAAUGAUCCGGUGAAAUGUCGAGAGUAUAAAGAAUUAUCUUCAGCAAUGAAGGUAUCUUUAAGCAAACUUCAGUAAACCUUAUCAUUUAGAGGAAGGAGAAGUCGUAACAAGGUCUCCGUAGGUGAACCUGC
rnacentral:rRNA from 1 species